AGAUUGAACGCUGGCGGCAUGCCUUACACAUGCAAGUCGAACGGCAGCGCGGGGGCAACCCUGGUGGCGAGUGGCGAACGGGUGAGUAAUAUAUCGGAACGUGCCCUGGAGUGGGGGAUAGCUCGGCGAAAGCCGGAUUAAUACCGCAUACGAUCUAUGGAUGAAAGUGGGGGAUCGCAAGACCUCAUGCUCCUGGAGCGGCCGAUAUCUGAUUAGCUAGUUGGUGGGGUAAAGGCCUACCAAGGCUUCGAUCAGUAGCUGGUCUGAGAGGACGACCAGCCACACUGGAACUGAGACACGGUCCAGACUCCUACGGGAGGCAGCAGUGGGGAAUUUUGGACAAUGGGGGACAA
rnacentral:rRNA from 1 species